GGGUUGUGAGGUUAAGCGACUAAGCGUACACGGUGGAUGCCCUGGCAGUCAGAGGCGAUGAAGGGCGUGCUAAUCUGCGAUAAGCGCCGGUAAGGUGAUAUGAACCGUUAUAACCGGCGAUACCCGAAUGGGGAAACCCAGUGUGAUUCGUCACACUAUCAUUAACUGAAUCCAUAGGUUAAUGAGGCGAACCGGGGGAACUGAAACAUCUAAGUACCCCGAGGAAAAGAAAUCAACCGAGAUUCCCCCAGUAGCGGCGAGCGAACGGGGAGGAGCCCAGAGCCUGAAUCAGCAUGUGUGUUAGUGGAAGCGUCUGGAAAGGCGCGCGAUACAGGGUGACAGCCCCGUACACAAAAGCGCAUGUGCUGUGAGCUCGAUGAGUAGGGCGGGACACGUGGUAUCCUGUCUGAAUAUGGGGGGACCAUCCUCCAAGGCUAAAUACUCCUGACUGACCGAUAGUGAACCAGUACCGUGAGGGAAAGGCGAAAAGAACCCCGGCGAGGGGAGUGAAAAAGAACCUGAAACCGUGUACGUACAAGCAGUGGGAGCACCCUUCGGGGUGUGACUGCGUACCUUUUGUAUAAUG
rnacentral:rRNA from 1 species